CGCAGUGGUUUUUGCGAUUCAAUUAGACCUUAUUGUGUGAUUCCUGAAUAGAAAGCAGACCUGUGGAAUGGUCAAGCUGUUGAUGAGCUCCUGGUUACCUUGUUGAAUACCUUGAUUUCAGAUGCAGAGGGACAACUUGGCACGAAAGAGCGACGGAGGAGGCGAGCCGAGCGCCGUAAGCAAGCAGGUGCGAAGCAAAGUGGAAAGCUGGGUAUCGGCAGCGCAGCUCCUCUGGCAAGAUGUUGAAGAGGAACCCAGCGAUGCAGGAAGAUCCCUGUUAGCGCGUGUGGCGUUUUCUUCGUCGAAGAUGGGUUAGGUCCCUCGGCCCUCUGAAAGCUAAGUGGAGGCAUGGGGGCUGGGAAGGGGCUGGGAAUCGCAGGGUUGGGGUUAAGUUCUGAUAAGGGCCAUCCAGAAACAGUUCCCCUUGGGUGGGUAAAGUGUCUGGGGACCUUUACAGUGUGAUGCCAGGGUGUGGCGGGCAGGGCAGCUCCAGCCUCUGUCUGCAUUGUGUAGUUUGGGAAGCCUGUCUCGCGACUGUCCGAUGAUCCUGGGGUCUCGUUGCGCUCCAGGCGCACAGCAUGUAUCUCGGGUGCCAUCCCGGGAUCUGGAAUGCCAGUGCCAAUUGGCUUGGUGUCAAUUGGGUCCGGGAUUCUUGUAUCAUUAGCCGAAAGUGUGGGUAGUGGUUUCAUUUUUCAUGUUUCUGGUCAGUUGUGAUUUACGGUGUAGUUCUGGGCCGCAUCAUCAGCGGUUGUGCUCUGUAUGCAUCCAGUCUAUGGGACUGGCACUUUAAGAUGCUGGGAAGAAGUUCUUAGUUUUGCAGCAGCCUUGCGUGUUUGUGCCAGUGCCACCAUUUCUUAAGGGGCCGUGAUGUUGGGCUCUUAUUUUUUUCUGGGGUUGCAGUAGAGACUCCUUGCCUCACUGCUGCCUCUCUGCAGGUUCUUUUGAUUGAUGUAGUCUCUGUUUUGGAGUAGUUCUUGUUAUACAGCACUUUUGGUGCUGUUGAUGUGUUGUCUAUAAUGUUUUGAGGUGCGUCUGUCUGUGCACGUGCACAUUUGGCUCGGAGCUGCUGUGCCCGGAGGCGUGGAGUCAGGGGUGGGUGAAUGGAGCUCUAGGGGUGCACGGUUAAUCUGUUGACACGUUAAACUGCAUUGGCAAAGGUUGAGCCGUCAUCUGGGAUGGAGUAGCUGUGGGCAGGGGAGCGGACUGUCCCUUCUCCAGUGUUUUGGAGACCUAAUUAGAGCUUCUGGUGGGAUUCCUAAACAGGAAGCAGACCUGUUGGAUAGUCAAGAUGUUCAUGAGCAUCUGGGUGACUUGCUGAAUACCUUGAUUUCAGAUGCAGAGGGACAACUUGGCAAGAAACAGUGAGGAAAGAGGUGAGCUGAGCACGGUAAGCAGGUGGGGCGGUGUGUGGUGUCAGAGGGAAGUUGUGCCUUGUGCCUUUAUACUGUGUGCUCGCUCUGCUUAGUGCGUGUGUGUUUUCUUGUGUUGCUGUAGAUGUUG